rnacentral:tRNA from 1 species
UGGCUCAGACAGUAAAGCGUCUGCCUGCAAUGCAGGAGACCUGGGUUCAAUCCCCGG